rnacentral:misc_RNA from 1 species
GCCGCCACUGCCGCCACCACCGCCACCGCCGCCACCGCCACCGCCACCGUCAUCGACAUCGAAUCCUGGCCUUAUCCAUAUCCACUCACGUCUCCGGAGGGAGAGAAAUGACGUCGUCUGCAGGCGGGAUGUACAUGGCUUUCUCUCCCUCUCCUUCGGCUCCUCACUCUCCUCAUCUUCCUGGUCUCCGCUCUCCGUCCUCUGCAUCUGCUGCUGCUCUACUUGAACAAGAAAAGUAUCUCUCUGAGUUAUUGGCAGAGCGACAGAAACUUAGUCCGUUUAUGCCUGUGCUCCCUAAUAGUUAUCGCUUGCUGAACCAAGAAAUAUUGCGUGUAACCACACUAUUGGGGAAGGCAUCAGUUUUAG